GUGCACGCUGGCGGCAGGCCUAACCCAUGCAAGUCGAGCGGCAGCGCGGGGGCAACCCUGGCGGCGAGCGGCGGACGGGUGAGGAAUUCGUCGGAAUCUGCCUUUUUGUGGGGGAUAACGUAGGGAAACUUACGCUAAUACCGCAUACGUCCUACGGGAGAAAGUGGGGGACCGCAAGGCCUCACGCAGAAAGAUGAGCCGACGACCGAUUAGCUAGUUGGUGGGGUAAAGGCCCACCAAGGCGACGAUCGGUAGCUGGUCUGAGAGGAUGAUCAGCCACACUGGGACUGAGACACGGCCCAGACUCCUACGGGAGGCAGCAGUGGGGAAUAUUGGACAAUGGGCGCAAGCCUGAUCCAGCCAUGCCGCGUGUGUGAAGAAGGCCUUCGGGUUGUAAAGCACUUUUGUCCGGAAAGAAAUCCCUGGAGCUAAUACCUUCGGGGGAUGACGGUACCGGAAGAAUAAGCACCGGCUAACUUCGUG
rnacentral:rRNA from 1 species